CCUCCCCACACACACACGCACACCAAACGGACUUAUAAGUAUUUGUAUCAUUUCUAAGCGUAGAAGCUCGGGGAGGAACACGGAUCGCCGGGCGGGAGGACCCCCGCACCCCCCUCCCCAUCCAUCCCCCCGUUGCGGUUCCCCGGCGCUGGGGGCGGCCCGGCUUUCCCACGGCCAACGCUACCGUGGGGCCAUCGCGCCCUCUCCCGGCGCCCGAUAGCGCCCGCGGGAUGCAGCGCGCAGCCCCGGCCCGGCACCUGCACGAACCCCUCCCGGCGAAAAAAAUAAUGAAAAAAAAAAAAUUAAAAAAUCCCCCCCCCCCCCCUUUUUUUUUUUAAGUGGAAAUCGCCCAUUUCCGCUGAGCAGCGGAAUGUUUGCAGCCAAAUUCCGCUCCGAGUGCAGUUCGCAGCCCUUUCUGCCGCUGUUGGGUAGCAAAGAGGGACGGAUUCAUGAAAACAAGAAGAGGGGAUCAGAAACGGGGAGUGCUGAGCAGUCCCAAUUUUAAGCAUUGGGUUUGCUCUUGCUCCUAGGUGGCUUAAAAUACAUCGUGCUGUUCUUGAAUGCUACAACGCUGUGUCUGUAGUGGACUUUGCUGGUGUGACUGGAAAUAGCGUGGCUGAAGGAUUCUGCCAGAAAGGGGCAGGAUCUGAAUUGACCCAGUGUGAAAGUUCGUAGGGAUGCUACCAGAAAGAAGGAGACAGACUCUUUAGGAGGGUUUCUUGUGAUAGGACAUGGGGAAAUGGUUUCAAAGUAGGACAGGGGAGAUUUAGACUGGAUAUUAGGAAGAUGUUUUUUUUAAAAUAAGGGCAGUGAGGCACUGGAACGGGUUGCCCAGAGAGGUGGUGGAUGCCCCAUCCCUGGAGACACUCAAAGCCAGGCUCUACAGGGCUCUGAUCAAGCUGUAGAUGUCCCAGCUCAUUGCAGGGAUGUUGGACUAGAUGACCUUUGAAGGUCCCUUCCAACUCAAACCAUUCUAUGGUUCUUUUACUCAUUUAAGAACAGUAUCAGAAUGACCCAAUACACAGUAAUGCUCUCAGAGCUGUAAAAGCCAUUGAAAUUCAGCUGGAAACAGCAGAAAUACUUCAAAAUUACUCCAGUACACCUAGGGUUGAAAAUCAUAAUCCUGUGCUGCAAUAUAAUUAUAUGCAGAGAAACUAACUGCAGUAUCACAGAGCAUUAUGGCUUGAAGUGAGGACUAUGAAACAUAAGCAGAUGGGCUCCUAAAAUACCCUGUGUUCAUCUGAGUGGAAAAAGGAGAGAGGAGGACUGGAAGAAAUGGGCUGUUGAAACAAUGGCCUUCAGAGGUCUUUAAAAUGUUCUAUAGAUUUCUUCAGGUCUUGGAGGUCUUCUUGGAAAGCCGAUGUUGAGGUGUCCCGGUGCAGUCCUCAUGUGGCAGAAGAAAGACAUUUUGCUCUGAUUUCUUAUGUCCAAGCCCAGAAAGAACACAAGGAUAGGUGUGAAAACACGGCUGUACUUUCUGUAACAACAGGAGGUGAGAUGUGUGUAGGCAGAAGCUGACAGUGCUGUCUCAAUAACAUCUUCCUACCAUCUCCCAAGGCCAAAACGACUCAUACAUGGCCCAGACAAACACCUUCUUGGUGGACUUCCCCACCAUGAGUGAGAAAUGCAGGUGUUUGGGGGCCACUGUCACCAUGAAACAUGAGGACCUACACACACCUCUUGUGGCAGCUGCAGAAAAGGCUGUGCUCAUCCUCACCUUAUGAAUGCCCACUUCCGUACAGUGGAAUUAUGGGAUAAACAAAGGAUGAUCCGUGAUGGUGUUAUAUCCAUGAAGCCAAAGACUGUGUGUGUGUGUGCAUGCAAGGGAAUCGAGUUAUGAUAUUUCUAAAUGGGAGGUGCAAGAUCAUUCUUCCAUAUACGUGCUUGAUCAUUUUCUCCUGCACUGCUGGCAGUGAGUGAUGCUGUACACCUCCUUCGGAGUCCCUGAAACUGCUGUUUGCUAAACACUGGGAAUUUUUAACUUCUUGGUAGUCAGAGAGCUACGCGAACCAUGGAGCCAACUGGAGUCUCACUAUUUAUGCUAUGCUACUGGAACCUUUUGCAGCUUUCUAGGAGGCACACUGAAAACUCUGCUUCUCCUCAUUCUUCAUCAUCCACACUAGAUCUUCCCUUCAACAUACCACUCACAGUCUUCUCUUCAGCUAUAGGGAAAAGCAAAUUGACUGAAGAGACUGGAGUUACACAGGAGGGUGACUGAGGAAAGCCAGACCUUCCCCAUUGACACAGUGUGGCAUGGACCCCACUGCUGCCCAGCCUCUCCCACACUCCGUCAGAAUUGGCUGCUGGCUACCCACUACCAGGCCCGCACAAGGAGCGUCUGCAGUGCUGUCCUUCAAGUGUCUAAAAGAAAUACUUCUACAGAAGUAGUUGGCAGAUAUUUGUUUGUGACUCAGUCCUCUGGUUAAAAUUUGCUAAUGGGUGUGGAUAGCCUUGUCAUCCUGGAUGUUCCUGUCCCCCUGGCUCACCUUCACUACUGAAUAAUCUGCAGCCUUUCAUCUGUGCAGAAAGGAAGUGUUGUGAAAUCCCCUGUGCCAUCUCCAAGCUGGCUCCUAGGUUAAUGAAAAGAGGAGUGUCUCCAUGCUUCUGUGUGUUGACUGUUUCCCAGAGAACUAUGGAGGUGUUUGGAGAGAUUCAGAAACCACCUGAUUAUGGUCCUGGGCAACUCUGCUUGAGAAGGAUUUGGACCUCCCUCCAAAGAUGACCUCCAGAGGACUCUCUCAACUUGACUUACUCUUUUUGUUGUUGUUGUUGUUGUUGCUUGUUUGUUUGUUUUUGCCAUUUUGUUCAAUUAAAAAAUUUCCAUGGUAAUGAUAUCGCAAAGCUACAUGCUCAAUGCUGUCUUUUGUACUGGAGAGUACCAUACACCAUUGUACCUCCUCUUUGAACACACCUGUUUGAACAAAUAGACAAAGAAUAUCUGCUUAUCUAAACAAGGAAGAAAAAAGGACUCCUGUAGCCUUUGUGCAUGCAGAAUGCAGCCUUUUGCUUCAUCAGGACUGUAACACAGCUCUCCCUCCAGGCUGUUUUUGGGAUGCCAUAGUGGGUACCUCUAUAAGGAGUUGUACGAAAACAUUCUUCAUGUAUUGCAAUCUAUAGAUUAGGACUGCUUUGGGCUACCGUUAUGCUGCGUAGGUACUGCAAUAACAAUUUUGCAUGAAGUCAGCUUGUUUUCUUUCUCUCCUCUCUAAAUUCUGUUCUAAUGGCAUAGCUGCACAUAAACAUGACAAGACAUGGCUGAUAAUCAUUUGUUAGCUGUAGCACCUACCAACAUGUUGCUCUUUUCAAUCUACAUAAACACAACCUUGUCACUCCAUCACAAUGUUGUGACAUUGCUAACUUAACGUAUAUCCAGUUAUUCCUCAUCAUGUUAGUAUGUGAUAUACUCAUUUGGCUUCCUUCCCUUCCUUCUUCCCAGAUUUUGCCCAUUCCAAAGUAUCUUGCGUGUACAUGCAUUGUUACUCCUUUGCUGAGGCUUUGUGAUACCAGCCUGAUUAGACAGCUGGAGAGUGCCAUGUAGCUGUGUGGUGCCAAGUGCUGGUGAAACCUUUGGUACACUGCCAAAACUUCUAGGUGUUGCUGAGCUACAAAGGAAAAGAGAUAAUGACGGUGUGGGAGGGAAGAAAAAUGCAUUGUGUGGACAAACUUCCCUCUCUUUUUCAUUAGACUGAACCUGAGCUAAAGAGGAAUGACAUCAGCAUUAGAAGAGAUAGCGGAGUUGCCCUGGUAAUGGAUUUGCCCCAUAGAUCAUUACAUGUCACCAUGUCAUCAGAAAUCAUCUGUCAACAGCUAAGAUUUUAGCAGCUCAUAUCUUACCUGCACUGGAGGAAACCCAAGGAAGACAGGAGUUUGUUAUGUUAUGUGAAGGGGAGCUGUCAUUAAUGAACUCCUUUUAAUUGUCCUGGGUGACUGAGAAGAUAACACCCUCAUAGGGGAGUUGGAAAAGCAGGAUCUCAACGCUGUUUGCUGAAGAGGACAGAGCCAUUAUCCUCUCUUGGUAAUUCCACAUCCUUUCCUGGGUUGUGCGUUGCUUGAAGAUCCUCUUAUGGUACCCAGAAUAUUCUUAGUCAAAAUUAAGUUUUCACUUACUGGAAACACUGUGGUCUUGUAGAGGCUGAAGAAGAUCUUCUGAUAUUCUUAGGGAAUGAUAAAAGUUUCACUGAAGUUGCAUCUGGUUCUUGAAUAAACAAGAUACGGGAAGCUGCACGAAAAAAAAGAGUUUUUGUCUUCUCUCUCUGUUUCAAGAAAGCAAUGAAAGCCAGUCUGCUUACAUCCCUGCUGGAUACUGGAUCUUGUGACCUCUGAAAGGUGGCAGCAAAAUGCCUCUGACUGAAGAGACCCUCAUGUAUGUUCUUUAGAGGUCCCCAUCUGCAAGUGCUAGAAGAGUUUGAAUAUGCCAUGUCCACUUUGAAGACAACAAAGAACUUUUCAUCCAAGAGAAGGUUCGGAACAUCUAGCCAUGAGACAAGGAAUCUUCUGGCUGGAGCUUUUUGUAAUCCAUGGGAUUAUUUUUUAUAUAAAAGGUCUCAACACCCUGCAAAUAGUGAUGCCAAGUAGGAUGACAGCAUACAGAAGAAAAACAGGCAACUCUGCCAGUGAUGUACUGGCACUAGAUGUGCUGGAGGAAUCCUGCUACACAACUGGUCAUCUAAUAAAGAAAGAUAGUUUCCUGCCAAACAAGAGUUUUGCUUCAUUUAGACAUCUUAGUUUGUUAUGCAAUAACACCAACUAAAUUAUUAAAAUCUCUCUAAUGUAAUAGCCACUUCUUGGUGUUGUAAGCCAGUGGUUCCAGUAGAAUUUAUCCACUUACCAACUAGCACAGCUAAACACGCUAGUCCUCUCUGCUAUGAGUGCUAAUUUGUGUUUAACCUCAGUCUGGCUUUUCAGAACUCCUCGCGGUCAUGCUUUGUUCACAUCCUGAGUCUUUCUCUUGCUAUGGCAGCUAUGGAAUAUUUGAUGAUGGAAAAGACUUCUCUGUGUUACAAUAAUAAUUCUCUCUUGCUGUCUAAGAUUGCUCUUCGAUUUCCUUUUACUAGCCCGCUAAUUCUAGACAGUUAGAAUCCCUGGAGAAGGGAUGACUGUAUUGUAAAUGUCCUGAUUUUCACAAUUUGACCAGCCUUUUUAGAAGGUCCUGUGGCAUCAGCCAUUUGGAUACACUCAGAAUAAUUAAUAUAAAAUUUGGCAGAUUUUAGUGACUGUAGGUGCUAGACUUCUGCUUGCUAAUUAUUCUUCUCUAUGACUGUUUAGAUUGGCUCUAAAUAGUUUCUGUUUUCUAAGAUGUAGUAUACAGUGCAGUAGUCUCCUUCUCAAUAUUUUGACCUGCAUUUAUUCACCUAGAAUUACUUUUUUUUUCUAACCAUUAUUCCAGAUUACGUGAAACUCCAGAGUGUGAGACUAACAAAACUAGAGCUAAGCAACUUGGCCAUGAGAAAAAGGGUUUGUGAACAUCCAGUGAUGAGGACACUCUUCUAACUCUGAAUUUUCCCAAGGCACUGGACCUUAUGCUUGUGAACUCCAGAGAUAAGCUUGUAAAGGACAUUUGUAGAAUCUGUAUGGCUUUUUCUUGUCCUUUGAUUAGCACUAAAUCAAGGAAAUUAGGUUUACACAUCUCAGCUAAGAAAAUGCUUCAGGGAUCUUGUCUUGGUUGUGUCUGUGUGUGUAUAAAACACAGUUCUAUUGAAGUUUCUGAUGUUCCACAAGUAUUAAAAUUGUAUUACUGAAGGAAAACUAGACCCAGAGACUGGAGACUUUUGCUCAUGAUAACUAAAACUUUGUCUAGACUGGGGAUUUUGUCCUAAUUACUGCCACUGGCUGCUAGCCAUUGGUGUUACUACGCCAUGGUGACCCCUUGCACUGGCAGGUAGUGGUGCUGCUGGUAGAGUUUUGUCAGUUUUAGGCGUGGAUAAUACUCUCUGCUGGAUGUCCUGGCUUUCCCCAUUUGUACCGUGUGAGAUCUGUUAGUGUUUAGUUGUCUGAGAUUGGAACCUGGCAAAUAUCCUUUAUACAUGGGGCCCAUGGGUACAGAGACAGGGAAAAUACUAAACUCCCCCAACCUUUUCCAGAAAUUCUCGAAGCAUUCCUAAUUUAGCUUUGUUCUCAGAAAGGGUCAAAUGGAGAACAUAUGAAGGUGAUGGGGACCAAAAGUGAAUAUUAGCAUAAGAAAAAAUUAGUUCUGUUAUUCCAGAAUGCUAUGGGACAAAAAUGGAACAAAACAAAACAAAAAAAGCCAAGUUUAUCAGCCCAUCUAACCCCUUUCCCAAUAAUAUAUUAAGUCAUCUUGCUAUACAGUUUGCAUUGCUUUGUCUAGCUUGGUUCUUAAUGACUCAACUCAUGGAGUCUGCACCACUUCCCUAGGGAUAGAGUUUUCCACUGUCUGAACUAUUACGAUAUUUUUCCUGAUAUCCAGACUACGAUUUCAUUUCAUCCCAUUAUUCUUAGCCUUCUCCUUCUUCUCAAACCUACCUAAACAAUUCUCUUCCUUGGUACUUAGCCCUUUCAAAGUCUCAUAGGAAUUUUUGUUUCCCAGAGCUGUCCCCAGUCCAUGUGCUCUCAUAUUUAGUCCAGUGAUGUUUUGCAAUGAAUUAUUCUGGAUAGUAUGAAUAAGGAUCAUGACAUGUGUAAAACAAGCAGGGUUGCUUUUCUGCUCCACUUGGCACUGGUGAAAGCCUCAGCUGGCGUAGUGAAUUCAGUUUUGGACGCUGCUUUUUAAGAAAAGACACUGACAAAUUGGAGUAAGCUCAAAGGAGAGUAGCAAAAAUGAUAAAAGAUUUAGAAAACCAGACUUAUGAGAAGCAGCUGAGAAAGACAGGCAAGUUCAGUCUGCACAGAAGACUGAAGGAAGACAUAAUAGCUGUCUGCAAAUACAUAAAAUGAUUUGAUAAAGGGAACAGGGGCCAGUUAUUCUCAUUAGUCAGAGAGGAAAGAAGCAGCAGAAAUUGAUUUAAGCUGCAGAAAGGAAAAUUCCGGCUACAUAUGUGGGAGAUGUGUUUCAGCUACUCAAUUAGUCAAUGGAACAAGCUGCUGUGAAAGGUUGCAGAGUUAAAAUGGCUACAGAUAUUCCAGGCUAGACUCAACACAAAACUGUAGGAGCUAAUGAAAAAAAAAUCCCACCUUGGUUUUGUAAAGGUAGCCAGAUGGACUGCAGAUGACAGGGUCUCUCAAGCAAAUACAAUUUUGUAUUAGAAAUGCAAUGUACUCAAAUGAAUAUUAAAAAGUAUAUACAAGGACAGAAGCACGAGCAAAAAUAAUAAUUUAAUCUCUCUACCUGUCCAUCUUUUAGUGAUGAAGACAAAGGAGGAGUAUAUGGUAGUCUUGAGAAGAUAUUGGGAAGACACAGCAGCAGAGGAUAUGAGUAACCAUAGUUAGGCAUGUGGCAGCUUCAGUUUCAGCUCAGAUGCUGUUUGGCUGAAUGAGCACCAUACACUAGCUGGGUAAAUAAGCACAACUGAAAGGGGUAAGAAGAGUCCAAGGCAGGGCAUGGGCAGAGCAAAUUUAUGUAUGCAUGUUUAUGAAUCAACUUAUCCCAGUGGACUUGCCUGAAGUCACUGAGAAAAUCCAUCAAGGAGGUGGGAGUUGCACCCAGGCAUCUGGAUCCUCAGGUCAGCACUUUAACCAAAAGCCCAUCCUUCUCUUUGUAGCAUCAGUUAAUUCCUACCUUCUUAUGAACUCAGCAACCAGCUGUCUGAUCCUGCCUGGCUCAUGUAUCUUGAAUUCCUGGAAACUUUCAUGAGGAUAUUUCUGUACAUUAAAUAAAAAGAGAGAGAGAGAAAGAAAAAGAGAGGAAUAGAGAGUAAGCUGAUGUUUUGUCCUGUUGUUCUCUAGGCAAGAGGUACCACUAGGAGCUGGCAUGGAUGUGGACUGCACAUAAAAAGAUCAGCAUCUGAUCAGCAUCAUAAAAUGGUAGCUGAUGAUUGGCAACAAACAAAAAACGGAGCUUCCCUGGAGGUGUACCAGUUCCAUGAGCCUCCUGCCAGCUGAGCAGCACUGAUGCCAACAGUGGAGAAUAAGUAAGGCACUUUGCUUGUUAUUAGAGACCAAUUCUUCUCUGUGCUUUUGAUCCUCAGAGAUCUGUGGGGUUCAGGCAUCCUUGAAAUAAGAACAGUGCAUUUUGCAUUGCUUGUGGUAUGUUUAACAUAUUACGGGGCGUUACUCUCUGGCACUGAGUAUUGAACUUAAAACAGCAUUGCAUAAUUCACCAAGAUUGCAUUACUAUGAGUUGGCUGGACAUUUCAUCAGUUCAGGAUAAUGCACAACCUGAAGAUGGUUUUAGCACUGCAAUUGCAAAAGUGUUAGCUGGGAAGAAUCCAGCCUGGCUGUUCAGCAUGAAUUACUGUCACUUGUCAGCUGAUAUGUCUUUAUUCUGGUCAGUUACCAAAGUGGAAUUACAAUUUUUCCCUCCCAUUAGUCGUCACCGCUACACAAACUUUAUUUGGAGGAAAAAGGUCAUGGUGAGGACUCUGAGCUGUCCUGGCUGUAACUCAGGAUAAAGAGCAGAAGUACCCAGGCAAUUCCCUGGACUAAAUUCAAAGACUGUGAAUAUAGUUCUGCUUUUUACCUGGCUGUCUGUGGACCACAGGGUCUGUUUAAUUGGGAGCUGAAGCCCCUUUGCCUGGCUGAUGAGAAAGCUGCAGCUUCCAGCACUGCCUGGCACCAAGCCAUCCAGGAAUGGAAGGGGAAUUCCUAAGCAAGCAUUCCAGUUAGCUUUUCUCAGAUGCUUUGGGCUGUUGGAAUUGAUUUUGCAAUCUGUGCUUUUGUCCUUCUGUGAUUUUCCACUCAACAAACUGGGAACUAUUGUCUUGGGUGUCUCGGACCAGGGGGAAGGAAAGGGGGAAAACUUUGUGAGACGGGUGAUUUGACAGCUGCUGAAACCUAACUUGGAUGCAUGCUUGUAUUUUUCUUCCUAAGCCUUUUAAAGGGAUUCUGCAAAUUUAAUAAGAAACUCUUGGCAGCAGGAGUGAGGUGUGACAGAAGUCUUUUCUUGUGAUUUAUUUUCCUCUAAGCAUGGUACAUGUGUCAGACAACAUCAACCAUGAGCAAUCAGUACUUUCUCAAAAAGCCAUAUUCCUUCUUCUGUGGUAGCAUCUUGUGUGAAGCACAUCUGUUGGCUACCUUACUUUUUACGUUACUAUGAUGGUUACCUCUGAGCUUAAACCUUGAAUGUGGCAGAUAUUACCAGCCUGUCCCUGUAGCCAGUGCUGCAAAGAAGGAAGCUAACAAUGCAAUUCCAGGUCUUGAUGCAGCUAUGAAGAGGCAUGAUGAUACAGCUUAGAUGUAUGAGAUGAGAAGCAACUGUUCUGCCUGUUGUCCGGAACCAUGGGGCUCAGUGGUUUCGUAAACCCAGAGCCCAGUUCUGAGGCUGAGGUUUGAGGGUCUCAAACCAAUCCAUAGAUCUUGGAGACAGUUUUUCACGUGUAAUACUGAGUUGUGCUAUGGUGUGCAGUGUUACACUGGGAAAGCUUUUGUUCUGAUUUUGGUCCUUGUGGCUUGGAAAAAAGCCUCAGGGAGUUGACUCAAAAAUAUCUAGAUAUAUUUGCUCUCCUUUCCAACUUUCUCUGCAGAAAAAAUAUGACAUGAUUCGUAGUUUUCCUUUCCUCAUUGCCUUCCAGGCCAUUUCAAAGUCUAUCAGUGUUAAUAAGCAUUUCUCAUUGAUUUCUGUAGAGUUUGGAUUAAAUCCCAAAUAAUGAUGUAAUUCGGCCUUUAAUGAGACCACCAUCACUGGUAGAUUGGUUUGCAGAAUUUUUCCCUUACACCUGACACCUUCUCCAGAUGAAGACAGUGAUUUCUGGAUGCACAAUGCCUUCACAUGGAUAACCAAAGCUGUGCACCAGAGUUACUGCCACUCCAGGAACUGGGAGCAGAGCAAAUGAAAUUUUCUCUUCCAGUACUUCACUGGAAAAGAAUUUCUAGGCAAGUUGCCUAGCAGGCACACUGCACUGUGUUCUUAGAAAGCAAUAGAUCUAUUCAGGACUGCCGUAUCUCUUUGGAAUUUACUGUAUGAAAAAAAAAAAUCCGAAACCCUUUUGGCAGGAACUGAUCAGUGCUGACUGAGAUUUGCUGCUUCUGACUGACAAACUAAUCCUAAUGUUUCAUUAGAAACUGCUUCCUACUAACUGCUGUUUGCACUGCAUCUGAAUUCGGGGGAUCGUGUCAGAAAGAAAUGAAGCAGAUCUGUUUCUGAAUUCUUGCCCCCCCCCCUUCAAUAACUUGCACACACACGUUUGUAUUUAUGCAUCUGGGUGGAUGGGCAGAUUUUUUGUGUUACAUGAAAGGAAUAUAUUCCAGCUUGCUCCUAAUCCCUUCCUAGUAAAAGUGCAGAUAAGCUAAGUGCUUUGGUGACUUGAAAUUAUUUAAGAAAAGCAGAGUGGCUUUAUUGUUUCAAUACAUAGGUGGCAGAAUCUCUAUUACAAGCAUUGGUUCUUGCUCCAUAUUUUUUAAAAACGUUUUGAACUUCAGUGAGUCAUCUUACAGGGCCUGAUUCCAGCUUUGUACAUUCUUCCUAUCCAUGUCUCCAGCAGGCUCUUAAGGGAGUGUAUCGUACUUAGCUCCAGGAAGCACCUGAUGCACAGCUGCAGUCCAAGGCACUGCACGGGCAUACCAUGAGGGCAAAGCUAAUGUCAAUGCUUCAGAGUGUGAAGAAAGUCAGGUCCACAACCUUUCCAUGUGACAGUGGAGGAGUCAUCUCUAUACAGGCUUCUUGGUACUGGAGCUGGGGUUCUAGAGAGAGACAUGGCUUGUCCUUUGCUUGUGAGACUGUCUCUUACUGUCAUAGUUUCCCCUUGUGCUGGAUGUGAACUCUAAUAAUGUUUAAAGUGGGAAUGGACCAUAGGGAACAACUUACUACGUAGCUGUGGACAGUAAUGUUUCAUCUUAAAGCACAUUUUCCAGUCUUGAUUUGAGGAUUCUGAAGUAAGAAGAUACUGAUCAUCAUGUGGAAAGCUCUCAGACAAUCCCUGGAGAAUGUCAAGCUGUGUCAAGUCCUUGGGAAUAAGAAAUCAUAUGGAAAAUAGUGAACAGUUACCUGGAAGAAGAGAAGUGGCAGGUGGUGCAGCAGAUCUUCGUAGUCUUCUCAGCCAUUAGACUGAAAGCUCAUAAGAGCAACAGAGCUAUCACUCACAGUGUGCUUGUAAGGCCUCCAGCACUGUGAUGUCUGUACCUUCUUGUGACAUUUAGAUGCUGCAUGAAGGACAUACUGAACAGCAAAGUGUGAAAAAGGGAGAUCACACAUGGAAAUAAUUUGCUGAACUUUGGGUUAGAUGUAGUCUGCUAAAAUAAUUUUGCUCUAAGCUCAGCCUUUUAAGACAUACAGACUUUCUUGUCCUGUAGCAAAAUUAAAGUAUAAGGAAUCAGUGUCCCCCACAGAAAGUGGCUUAUGCAGGUACUAGAUUAAAAGUAAAAUCAGAAUCAUUCAGGUCUCUAACCACUGCAAGUUUGGAAAUUUAAUGGAAUUAUUAUCUGUGAAAUCAGCAAAACAACAAUAUAUAUAUAUAUAUAUAUUUCCCCCCAGCAGAUGUACAACAACAAAUGUUUCUGAAGUUGCACAGUUGUGAUGUUCUUGUAAUGCAAACUUUAUAAUUGUGAGAUACAAUUCAUUAUUAGAACUUCAGACCCUUUUCUGUACUGGUUUGAGCCAAUGAAAAGUAGUGUGCUCUUUUUAAUAAGUACAUUCUAGAAGCACUUUUGUUUAAAUGUUGAAUGUGCAGAGAGAGAUAGUUCCUGGUUAAUGAAAGAUGUUUCAUGAUUCUUUUCUUUUCUUUUUGAUUUUUAAAUACAAUUAUUCAGGUAUAUAGUCCAUCAGAGUAAUUUGGCAUUUUCAUGUGCAAAUCCCAGGUCUAUAGCUUCAGCAAGAUAAAACAAAAAUGUUGCAAGUGGAUCUUGUAUAACACCUGAUUUUCAGUGAGAAGCAUUUAAGAGUAUCAAUUAUGUUCACAGCUCCAACUAUGCUCACCAGCAUUUUAACUAACUUAUACAGCCACAUAUCCAGAAAGACUACAACUGUGAGCACAGAGUUCAAACUCUGAAUGAGAUUCUGAAGUAGGACAGCAGGGACAAAGUAGUAUUUUGCAUGGGCUAGUUGCAGAAGGAAGGUGGACAAUGGUUUUCACAGAUCAGUUCAAUUUGAGAUUGGAGCUAAGCCACUCUUACUAUGAAAGUAAAAUGGAGAAAGAGUACAGACUAUGGGACUUUCAUCUGAUGUCUUUCUAAUGGAGAGAAGGGGUACCCUGCACCUACCUUUCUCUAGCCAAGAUGCUCUGAAAGCUCAGUGCUGCUGGGGAAAGUGACUCAACAAGAAAGAUGUUUGCCCAGAUUUGUCUUUAUACUGGCUGUGGCUGGAUCUCCUUUUUAGAAAACAGAGAUAUGCCAUUUUCUCAAGGGAAAUGAAGAAAGUGAAGAACUCAUUGUCACUGACCUUGCUGUUCUCUUUCUAUGAAAUAAAUGUCAUCUCAAGAUCUCUCAGUCUGCGUCUUUCUUCAGUUUGAAUGCUUCAAAGAGUUGAUUUUCCAGUACAUCUCAGUAAAAACUAAGCAUUUUCCAGGACCUUCAAAAACUGUGUUCUGGGUUAGAGCCAUGUGAAGCAUGCUUUAGUG